rnacentral:rRNA from 1 species
UCUGGGAUUAGAUACCCUGUUAUUUAAAAUGUAAUUUAUUUAUUAAAGUAGUAAUAGUUAUGUUCUUGAAACUUAAAAAAUUUGGCGGUAUUUUAGUCUAUUCAGAGGAACCUGUUCUGUAAUUGAUAUUCCACGUUGAACCUUACUUAAAUUUGUUUUGCAAUUUAUAUACCGUUGUUAUUAAAAUAUUUUAAAAAAAUGAUAAUAUUUAAGUUUUUAUAUAAAAAUUUAUAUCAAAUCAAGGUGUAGUUUAUGUUUAAGUAGUAAUGGGUUACAAUAAAUUUAUUUUUGGAUAUAAAUAUGAAAAAUUUAUUGAAAUUGGAUUUGAUAGUAAAAUUAUAUAGAUUAAUAAUUUGAUUUUAGCUCUAAAAUAUGUACAAAUCGCCCGUCACUCUCUGA